AUUCACAAAUCAGAAAAUACCACCAGCUAACACACAUUGGGGAACCUUCCAUGUCCCUGAGGGGGUGGCAGAUCCAUAGCUGGGGCGGAAGUUCCACUGUGCGAAUGUGUGACUCAGUGAUUGGGGGCCUGGUCCCAGGGCGAUAUGUGCCCAGGUGAGAACUCAGGGGGUCCUGCAGUGGGAGGGUCAAGGCUUGGCUCCUUAAAUUCCAGUCUCUGCUGGGGCUGAGAGAAUUGCUUGGGUGGGAUGGGGUCGGUUCCCACUAGGGAUCCUUGAGAACCCAGUGUGUCUGACCUUGGCUCUUGAUCAUCCAGGGAAGAGAUUUCUGAACUGAAACUGCCUCAAGGAGAGGAGAGUCAGGGCGCUCCCUCCCCAGCCCCCUGGAGACAGACCCUGAGAAGUGGAGGUGGGUGCCUAGGGGAGGGGACGGGGAGUCAGGUGCUUUCCUGGGGCUGGAGGCUGGUUCAGGUGGGGAGCACUCAGCCCUGGAGAGGAUUUCCAGCCCCUGGAAGUGGAGCCUGCUUUGAAGGACUGAGAAGGGUCUCAGCAAACCCUGGGUUGGCACCCACCUUUCCACCUUCACGUCCUUCCCCUUCUGAGCUGGCCUACUCUUCUGUAGGUGGGGUGCUCACCCCUGCCUCUCAGCUCAGAUUGGAGACAGCCUGAGCUGAUGGACCACAAAGCUUUGGAACCUGGAGGUCACCUCUAGGUCCUCAUCUCCAGCCUUCACAGCUGGGCACCUGCCUGGCUCCAGGGGUGGAGCCUGGUGUCCCCUCCCUCCUGUGUGACCUUGGGCAAAUCACCCAGUCUCUGUGUGUCCAAUGAGGACCUUACUGGCAUAGGCCUCAUCAAAGUG
rnacentral:lncRNA from 1 species